rnacentral:lncRNA from 10 species
AACAACAGAAAUUACCCAAUCUGAACAACAAAAAAAUACACUGGGGAAAAAAAAAGCGCAAAGUCUCAAGGACCCGUAGGACUAUAAAAAAUGAUGUCAUGGCACUGGAGUUCUGCAAGGAGUGAAGAAAGAGCAGGGCUUAAAAAGUAUUCACAGAAAUGACCUCCAAAUAUAUCCCAAAUUUAACAAGCUACAUCAACCAGGAUUCAAGAAGCUGAACAAGCUCCAAACAGGAUAAACCCCUUCAAAAAACACUCUAAGACAGGUUAUAAUUAAAUUUAUGAAAACUGAAGAAAAAAAUCUUGAAAGCAGCCAGAAAAAAAAAAAAAAAUGACACCUUACCCAUAGGGGGAAAUCAGUCUGAAUAACAGGAGAUUUGUCAUUAGAAACGAUGGAGGCUACCUGGAAGUGGCACAAUAUUUUUUAAACGCUGAAAGAAAAGAACAGUCCACCCCAGAACCCUAGACUCAGCAAAAUGCCACCUUCAAAAAUAAAGGAGAAAUGAAGACAUUCUUAGAUGAAGGAACACUGAGAAUCUGUCAUCAGCAGAUUUACCCUAAAAGAAUGGCUAAAAGAAGUUUUCUAAACAGAGGAAAUGAUAAAAGGAACCCUGAAGCCUCAUGAAGGAAGAAAGAACACACUGAUUUCCUCCAUGUCUUCUAUGGAAGAUUCUGUCCGUCCCACUGGUUUAUGGUUUAUGGUGGCGCCUCUCCAUAUCAGAUUAUGCUUUCACGUGUCCCAGGUGGAUCCAGACAGCCUAGGUGCAAAUAGUGUCCCUGUCACUUAGCAGCUAUGUGAUUUGGGGCAAGUGCCUCGUUUCUUUACAUACAAAAUGGGACAAUAGCAUCUGCUUCACGGACUGUCAGGAGAUAACAUGAGUUUAUGACUGCUCAGGCCUGCCCAGCACAGGGUAAAUGCCCAUCACCGUUGCCUCUUCUCUGUUAGGCUAGUCUUAUGCUAAGAGCCAUGAAAAUGUUAAUGGGGUGGCUUGUAGUUUUGUAUUGAUAAGGCAAUCUCCAUUCAUUAGGGAUUGCCUUAUCAAUACGAAACUACUAGCUACCCCCAUUUUUAUUUUUCUAGAAAUAUAGCUAUUUUCAUCUAUUUAUUAUUUUAUAUAAACUCUAGAACCAUUUUAUCAAGUUAAAAGUAUCAUUUAUGCUUUCAAUAUGGUUUGUGACACGUGAAUAAGCAAAUUUGGGGUGAAUGCACGUGUUUAAAAUAUUCAGUCAUUCCAUUCAAGAGCAUGGCAUUUCUUUUAUCUUAAUAUCUCCCAGUAAAAUUUUUUUAUUUGUCCUCAUUUCUGCUUCAAACUUUUCUGAUUAGGCUGGUAGAUGUAAUGGUGAAACAGAUGGGUUCUACCAACUCUACCAUGAACUAGCUGUGUGAUCUACUGGCACUGAAGCUAUUCAAGUCUCAGUUUCCUGCCUAUAAAAUGACAUAGGAGGCACUACUGUAUGGAUUGCUGUAAAGCCUAUUGAUAUAUGGUUCUAAUCACUACUUAAGCAGAAUAGAGGUUAC